CCAUUGACAUUUAAAGUGAUUCAUAGGCACAGAACUAAUCCCAGGGCAAAGCAAUGCCAUUAGAUGAGUUUUACCACAUGACAACAGAAGAGUGAGACAGGGUUCUGAGAACUAAGUGACAGAGACUGAAGGAAUGUAAACUGUAGCAGAAAUUUGGACACAGACACACACUGAAG